GUCGACGUACUUCAUAGGAUCAUUUCUAUAGGUCACGUCCCAUCUUUGACUCUUCUAAAGAGCCACUGAAUCCAACUUGGUUGAUGAGUGAGAUACCCUUAUACCCUCAAAGUGAGAAACAAUUUAGCUUGUCUGUGAUUCUUAGCAGUCCAGUCAUCUAUCUUUAUUUGCCUUUUGUUUAUGCGAGAUGAACUUGUUUCGUUUUCGCCUUGAAAGGAGCGAUGAUCUUUACCCUUUGCUUCAUGCCUCUUCGGGGGCUUUAGUAUUGGGUGGGUAUAAGUGGCUGUCUGACAAGU
rfam:Hyphopichia burtonii NRRL Y-1933 unplaced genomic scaffold HYPBTscaffold_4, whole genome shotgun sequence.